AUUGAACGCUGGCGGCAGGCCUAACACAUGCAAGUCGAACGAGUGGCGGACGGGUGAGUAAUGUCUGGGAAACUGCCCGAUGGAGGGGGAUAACUACUGGAAACGGUAGCUAAUACCGCAUACCAUCGGAUGAGCCCAGAUGGGCUUAGCUAGUAGGUGGGGUAACGGCUCACCGAGGCGACGAGCCCUAGCUGGUCUGAGCGGAUGACCAGCCACACUGGAACUUAGACACGGUCCAGACUCCUACGGGAGGCAGCAGUGGGGAAUAUUGCACAAUGGGCGCAAGCCUGAUGCAGCAAUGCCGCGUGUAUGAAGAAGGCCUUCGGGUUGUAAAGCACUUUCAGCGAGGAGGCGUUACCCGCAGAAGAAGCACCGGCUAACUCCGUGCCAGCAGCCGCGGUAAGAC
rnacentral:rRNA from 1 species